CAUCGCAGCCGCGGAGCGACCGCUGCUUCCCCGUGGGGACCGGCCGCACCCCGGGCGGCACGUACCGCACAAAGGCGCGGGGCUCCCUGGGCGAUCAAACGAAACGCAGACUUACCGGAUGCCGACUGUAAAAUCCUUUCUUCGGAUGGGGUUUUCUUCCACAUUGGUGGUCCAGCCUGUAUUCUUUUGUAUUAAAGGAGCUCCGGGUUUUCUAGGGCUAUAGGAUGAGUGCAUUGUGUAUUUAUCAAAGGAAGGCAGUGGUAUUUGCUUUUCGAUAAACAUAUAGGCAAAAUGAAGGAUUAGGACCUUCGUGAUGCAAAGGUUGGGCCCGACACUACUGCUGGUGUAAAAUCAAAUGGCUGAGAACAACACUGGCUGAGUGGUGUCAUUUGCAGAGCACCAUGGAGACAUUUGAGCCAGCCACCUCCCCUGCAUCCCAGCUGUGCCCUUCGGGCGGCGAGUACCUUCAGCUGCUUAACAGGUCAUCAAAACUCCCAUAAAUACCACCUUAAGAUUUAUGGCAGUCCCAGCACAGGUACACCCAGCCUGUGCGUAGUGCUCAGGGCCAGUUUGCGGGUGAGGUUCAGAUGGUGGCCCAGUGCGAAGGCGGCUGUGCCUGCACCAGCGCUGGCAGAGCUGCUGCCACAGCCGCCCGGGCUGCUCACACUCUCACCUCUUGUCACACAAUGGGCUCAAGGUGCCCAACAUGCCAGCACGGGGCUGCUCGGCUUCACUCCGCUUCUCUUGAGUUACAGCUCUGUCUCUGUCUUACGUCCCGUUAGAAGAUCUAAAAAUAGACGUUUGGAAUCAAUCCUGUUGCAAUUUCUCAGAUCACUAUCAAGAACUGGCCCGAUCUCUGAGAGUCAUUCCUACCGCCAACUCUUAGUUUUACAUCCCCAUAUUUGGCUUUUGUUUUGUUUUUAAGCGGGGAAAUCUAGUCUGUGUUUAUGUGCUAGAGCAGUAGCUGGAAGGAUAUCUUUACUUUUCACCAGUGCUUUACACACAUGCUUUUUUAACUAGAGUUUUCCUUACGAUUGUUAAUCCUGGAGCAGGAAUUUCCUAUUGCAUUCCUCACAGCAGGAGAGCAAGAGGGAGAGGCUGCUCUUUCUGUAGCAAUAUCCUUUUCCACCCUUCCUGUUUAUAUAGCAUUUUUGUUUAACAGGACGGAGCCGUCUGACAGUGACUUUGCCCCAGCUAUAGCUCCUGUGCUCUCUAUACAUUUAACCUGUUUGCAGCCCGCUCGCGUAGCAAAAAGGACAGGACACAGGUUAAAACCUGUCCCUCCGGAAGGGAAUAGAGGUGUUUCCCAGAAACAGAUAGCUUGACAGGUCAAAGGAGGGUCUCACAAAACACCGGGUUUUCCAAAGCCUCCCUGGUCAAUCUUUAGUGAGUAAGAAAUACAAUAGAUACUUCAGUGCCAUGUUCCUUUAUCUGAUGGGAAGUGGAGGCCUGUGCUGCUUCAUGGCUUUCACCUUCACGUCAGGAACAAAAAGGUGAUUUUCACAGGUGCCAAGUCCAUGCAGCCUGACUUACAAGUGCACAGGCAUCGGCCCUGAAGUGCAAGAGCCACAGGAUUGCUCCCUGCAAGAACAGAAGUGCAAGAUACAAUGCCCUUCUUACUGGAACUGGUGAUGCUUUGGGCACUGAUGUCAGAACACGCUGGCUCAGCACUUUCCUUGGCCCCUAAAAGGAAGGGAAAUGAAACUGUGCCCAAAUGAAGGAGGUGUUUUUUUCGGUUUCUAAACUGAACACUUCCACCAGCCACCUCCAUGCUGACCACGAAACCUACACUGAAGCGGGAGGAGAGCCGACCCCAGCACCGUUCUCUUCUGCUGACAAGGCGGAAAGCGGAUCUGCUGCAUCUCAAGUGCAUUCCUGGGCAUGGCGAUGAGGAUCUGUAAAGAAAACAUCACGUUAGCUGUGAUCCUUCCGAGCAGGAAAACACAACCCGGACUCUGGCCUCCUGAAAGCAGAGGGAGCUCAGAUGGAGCCCCAGGUACUUCCACGUACUGCUCGCUCCUGGUUGCUGUGGCUCACCUUGGGUGUUUCCUGAGGAUAUUCCAGAAGCAAUAUUCUGGAUUUUGCCCUAGAUUUUUGCAGGACAGAUGAUGUAAAAAACUGUGUGGUGCAAGAAGGAAAUGCCAAAAAAAACCCAGAAAAAAAAGCUACCAUUACAAGUACUUAACUGAUGGGAAAGAAACAAUUAUGUACGUUAUCAAUAUGUAAAAUACAAUUUAUUGUAUUUAGGCCAUUCAUAAAUAUCAACACAAUGUAGUAUGUUUGAAUCAAACAUCUUACCAAUAAAUACUAUCUAAACAUUAAUAUUAAUAUUUUGCUCAAAUGUGUACAGUGUAUUGACUCAAUAUUGCACAGUGAGCUCUAUAUGACAUUUCCAUAGUGCAUUCAGUUUGUUACAGGGAUAGUUUGCCACAAAUAUUGCAAAGCAUCAGAGCUGACUUUUCCAAGUGAAAACGGCUGAACUAUUUCAUUGGGGACUGAUGGCUGACACAAAUGUCAGCAUCCUAGGUUAACUGGUUAUGGAUUCAUGGAACCUAAUGUUGUCAUGAAUGAGGAGACUUUAUUUCUAAUACAGCUUUUACAGAAUUGUUAAAAAAAUCCCACUUUCAAAUAGAAUGAGGGCUUUAUCAUCAAACUUAUGUGAACAGCCCGUUCCAGUGAUCAGUGAGCCUGUGAUCAAGCUUACUCCAGUGAGCUUGUCUUCUCACUUCAAUCUAAAUAUAAAUUGUGUCUUUGAUCUUUUCGGAGAUGUAUCUCA